rnacentral:rRNA from 1 species
GAUGAACGCUGGCGGCGUGCCUAAUACAUGCAAGUCGAGCGAACAGACGAGGAGCUUGCUCCUUUGACGUUAGCGGCGGACGGGUGAGUAACACGUAGGUAACCUACCUAUAAGACUGGGAUAACUUCGGGAAACCGGAGCUAAUACCUGAUAAUAUUUCGAACCGCAUGGUUCGAUAGUGAAAGAUGGCUUUGCUAUCACUUAUAGAUGGACCUGCGCCGUAUUAGCUAGUUGGUAAGGUAACGGCUUACCAAGGCAACGAUACGUAGCCGACCUGAGAGGGUGAUCGGCCACACUGGAACUGAGACACGGUCCAGACUCCUACGGGAGGCAGCAGUAGGGAAUCUUCCGCAAUGGGCGAAAGCCUGACGGAGCAACGCCGCGUGAGUGAUGAAGGUCUUCGGAUCGUAAAACUCUGUUAUUAGGGAAGAACAAACGUGUAAGUAACUGUGCACGUCUUGACGGUACCUAAUCAGAAAGCCACGGCUAACUACGUG